rnacentral:rRNA from 1 species
UGGGGAAUAUUGCACAAUGGGCGAAAGCCUGAUGCAGCGACGCCGCGUGCGGGAUGAAGGCCUUCGGGUUGUAAACCGCUUUUAAUUGGGAGCAAGCGAGAGUGAGUGUACCUUUUGAAUAAGCACCGGCUAACUACGUGCCAGCAGCCGCGGUAAUACGUAGGGUGCAAGCGUUAUUCGGAAUUAUUGGGCGUAAAGAGCUCGUAGGCGGUUUGUCACGCCUGGUGUGAAAGUCCAUCGCUUAACGGUGGAUCUGCGCCGGGUACGGGCAGGCUAGAGUGCAGUAGGGGAGAUUGGAAUUCCCGGUGUAACGGUGGAAUGUGUAGAUAUCGGGAAGAACACCAAUGGCGAAGGCAGAUCUCUGGGCUGUUACUGACGCUGAGGAGCGAAAGCAUGGGGAGCGAACAGGAUUAGAUACCCUGGUAGUCCAUGCCGUAAAACGGUGGAUGCUGGA